CCGGGAGUGUUAUAGCCCGUUGCAUAAUACCUGCGGUGGACUGAGGACCGCGCAUCUGCAAGGAUGCUGGCGU
rnacentral:rRNA from 1 species